AUUGAACGCUGGCGGCAGGCCUAACACAUGCAAGUCGAGCGGUAACAUAUCUAGCUUGCUAGAUGAUGACGAGCGGCGGACGGGUGAGUAAUGCUUGGGGAUCUACCCUAAGGUGGAGGAUAACCAUUGGAAACGAUGGCUAAUACUGCAUAGAAUCUACGGAUUAAAGGGGGCUUUUAGCUCUCGCCUUUGGAUGAACCCAAGUGGGAUUAGCUAGUUGGUAAGGUAAUGGCUUACCAAGGCGACGAUCCCUAGCUGGUCUGAGAGGAUGAUCAGCCACACUGGAACUGAGACACGGUCCAG
rnacentral:rRNA from 1 species